rnacentral:rRNA from 1 species
CCCCUAGAUGUUCUGGGCCGCACGCGCGCUACACUGAACAGUUCAACAAGUCUUAACCUUGGCCGAUAGGUCUGGGUAAUCUUUGAACGCUGUUCGUGAUUGGGAUAGACCUUUGCAAUUAUGGGUCUUCAACGAGGAAUUCCUAGUAAACGCAAGUCAUAAGCUUGCGCUGACUACGUCCCUGCCCUUUGUACACACCGCCCGUCGCUACUACCGAUUGAAUGAUUUAGUGAGGACUUCGGACUGGGACCGAUGCGGCUUUCGGGCUGCGUCGGUAUUCUGGAAAGAUGUCCAAACUGUAUCAUUUAGAGGAAGUAAAAGUCGUAACA